CACAGAGACAAAGUAUAGAGAAACAACAGUGGGCCCAGGGGACCGGCGCUCAGCAUACCAAGGACCUGCACUGGCACCGGUCUCUGAGUUCCCUCAGUUUUUAUUGAUUGUUAUCUUCAUUAUUUCAGCAAGAAGGAAUGUAGUAGGAGAGCAGGGUGAUAAUAAGGACAAAAACAUGUAAGCAAUAGAAUCUACGUCAUAGUUAAGUUUAAGAGAAGGUACGGUGACUGUACGUGCACGUAAAGCCAGAUUUAUGUUUCUCUCCACCCAAACAUCUCAGUGGAGUAAAGAAUAACAAGGCAGCAUUGCUGCAAACAUGUCUCGCCUCCCACCAUAGGGCGGUUAACCUUGGACAAUACCCCGCUUUCAAGGGCAGAGGUCCCUGCGGCUUUCCGCAGUGCAUUGUGCCCCUGGUUUAUUGAGACUAGAGAAUAGCGAUGACUUUUACCAAGUAUACUGCUUGUAAACAUUUUGUC
rnacentral:lncRNA from 1 species